rnacentral:tRNA from 1 species
AAGAGAUACUAGUAAAGUCAUUACAAUGCUUUGUCAAAGCUUAAUUGUGGGUUAAAACCCCACGUACCUCC